UUGAACGCUGGCGGCAGGCCUCACACAUGCAAGUCGAGCGGAUGAAGGGAGCUUGCUCCUGGAUUCAGCGGCGGACGGGUGAGUAAUGCCUAGGAAUCUGCCUGGUAGUGGGGGAUAACGUCCGGAAACGGGCGCUAAUACCGCAUACGUCCUGAGGGAGAAAGUGGGGGAUCUUCGGACCUCACGCUAUCAGAUGAGCCUAGGUCGGAUUAGCUAGUUGGUGGGGUAAAGGCCUACCAAGGCGACGAUCCGUAACUGGUCUGAGAGGAUGAUCAGUCACACUGGAACUGAGACACGAUCCAGACUCCUACGGGAGGCAGCAGUGGGGAAUAUUGGACAAUGGGCGAAAGCCUGAUCCAGCCAUGCCGCGUGUGUGAAGAAGGUCUUCGGAUUGUAAAGCACUUUAAGUUGGGAGGAAGGGCAGUAAGUUAAUACCUUGCUGUUUUGACGUUACCAACAGAAUAAGCACCGGCUAACUUCGUG
rnacentral:rRNA from 1 species